CCGAUAGCAUAUACGAAUAUUGCUGCAGUUAAAACGCUCGUAGUCAAAAUUAAAGACACUGUACGCUGUACCAAUUGGAACAGAAACUGUAGUCUAUGCCCUUCAGUCAGACUGCCAUCUGGCAGAUGCUGACGGAAGGAAAGGUGAAACUGGAAUGAGAUUUGUUCUAGUACGGGAGUAGCCUAAUUACCUUGAGUAAAUCAGAGUUCUCAAAACAGAUUUUGUGAUCACUGAAUGAUUAAGCAUGGGAUAGUACGUUAUCGUCGUGAACGACUUGUUCUCGAUGGGUUCUCUAUUUCCCGUCAUCACUUCGGUUAAUAGGAGCAGUCGGGGGCAUUAGUAUUGGUUGGCGAGAGGUGAAAUUCUUAGACCCUUCCAAGACUAACUAUAGCGAAAGCAUCUGCCAAGGAUGUAUUCAUUGA
rnacentral:rRNA from 1 species